rnacentral:rRNA from 1 species
GCUGGCGGCUGCUUUAUACAUGCAGUCGCACGGACCCUUCGGGGUGAGUGGCGGACGGGUGAGUAUCGCGUAGGGAUCUAUCCACGGGUGGGGGAUAACAUCGGGAAACUGGUGCUAAUACCGCAUGAUACCUGAGGGUCAAAGGCGCAAGUCGCCUGUGGAGGAGCCUGCGUUCGAUUAGCUUGUUGGUGGGGUAAAGGCCUACCAAGGCGAUGAUCGAUAGCUGGUCUGAGAGGAUGAUCAGCCACACUGUGACUGAGACACGGCCCAGACUCCUACGGGAGGCAGCAGUGGGGAAUAUUGGAGAAUGGGCGAAAGCCUGAUCCAGGCAUUGCCGCGUGGUGUGAGGA